UACGUAGGGCGCAAGCGUUGUCCGGAAUUAUUGGGCGUAAAGAGCUCGUAGGCGGCUUGUCACGUCGGGUGUGAAAGCCCGGGGCUUAACCCCGGGUCUGCAUUCGAUACGGGCAGGCUAGAGUGUGGUAGGGGAGAUCGGAAUUCCUGGUGUAGCGGUGAAAUGCGCAGAUAUCAGGAGGAACACCGGUGGCGAAGGCGGAUCUCUGGGCAUUAACUGACGCUGAGGAGCGAAAGCAUGGGGAGCGAACAGG
rnacentral:rRNA from 1 species